UACUGAAGAGGGAAGACCAGGACAGUAUGAGGCCCACAGUCAGGGGACUUGGAUAACCAAGGAAAAAGCUGACCUUUACCCAGCACAGUGCCAGAGAAGGAGCUUAGCAGAGAUCAGGCGUAUACAUAUCUAGGGGAUAUCAGUGUGAUUGUUCCUCCAAAUGUUUGUGAAGUGGUAGAAAAAUCUGGAGAGCCCAGAGUGGAUGCUCCCUGAGUCCUGUGAGCGGCCGCAUGUCUGACCCUGAGUGUUAAAUGAUUGAGCAAGUGAAGGCGACAGAGAUUUGUGAUUAAAAGCAAGAACAAGAGACAGAUAAGAGAACGGAAGACACUGGGAAUAAAUGAAAGCCAAAAGACGAGGGGACAGCGGUUCCAACAGGGGUGAACCAACAGGGGAACCUUCAGACUACAUUCCCUGAAUGUACAGACAGCAGCAUUUACAGCAGGAAUUGCUUUUCAAUAUGCCCACAAUGGCUUCAACACUGCCUCUUGCAGAACCUGAUGACUCUUUCCCAACACCUGGCUUCUAAGAAGCUGAAUGAAGAGACAAUAUGGAGUCUGGUAGUGAAAGCCGGUUCUUCAGAGGCCUUGCCCUGCCCCCUCUCUAACUAUCUGGAGAGGCCAGCUGCCCCAUCUUGGGAACAUGUCAACAUGGAAAGAUGCUGUGUGAAGAUCUGAGGUCUCCUACUACAACUCAAGAAGGAUAGAGGCAUUUCCCCACAGCCAUGUGGGUACACCAACCUGGAAGGAGAUUCUCUAGGCCCAGUCAAGCUUUCAGAUGACUACAUCACUAGCAGACAUCCUGGACUAAAGCCUCAUCAGAUAUCCUGAACCAGAACCAUGCAGUAAAGAUGCUCUCCAAACUCCUGGAUACUCAUAAGCUCUGUGGCACAGCAAACCAUCAUUUCCAGCUAGUGUGUGUUAGCCUAAGUUAUAAUGUAGCAAUAAGAAGUAACAAAAUGAGAUACUGUGGUUGAAAGAGUUGAAAGACAGAUGAGCAUCCAUAAUGAGUUCUGAUGCCCACUUCUGGGGUGU
rnacentral:lncRNA from 1 species